rnacentral:rRNA from 1 species
GACGAACGCUGGCGGCGUGCCUAAUACAUGCAAGUCGAGCGGGCCUCCGGAGGUGCUUGCACCUCCGGACGGCCAGCGGCGGACGGGUGAGUAACACAUGGGCAACCUGCCUUUGAGGCCGGGAUAACACCGGGCAACCGGUGCUAAUACCGGAUACGGCCUCUUUCGCGCCUGCGAGAGGGGAGAAAGACGGUCUUUAAGGCCGUCGCUCAAAGAGGGGCCCGCGGCGCAGUAGCUGGUUGGUGGGGCAAGGGCCUACCAAGGCGACGAUGCGUUGCCGACCUGGGAGGGUGAUCGGCCACACUGGGACUGAGACACGGCCCAGACUCCUGCGGGAGGCAGCAGUAGGGAAUCAUCGGCAAUGGGCGAAAGCCUGACGGUGCAACGCCGCGUGAGUGAGGAAGGUUUUCGGAUCGUAAAGCUCUGUUGUGAGGGAAGAACAGCAUCCGGAGGAAAUGCCGGAGGUUUGCCGGUACCUCACCAGAAAGCCCCGGCUAACUACGUGCCAGCAGCCGCCGUAAAAC